ensembl:lncRNA
GUGGGCAUCUGGCGGGCACUGUGGCCUGCAGAGACUCGAGGUGUGGAGGGCAGAGCCAGGGAGGAGUGAGCAUGUCUUGGGACCUGACAGCCAGGCGGCUGGCACCACCAUCACCGCUAUCGCUGCUCCUGGUGCUGGUGCUGCUGUCCGGAGCUGGGGCUCUGCGUCCUGAAGAGCUCUUUCCUUACCGGGAGUCGUGGGGCUGCCUCGGGAGGGCGACGAUGAAAGCUCCGCGGCUGUGAAGCUAGCAGUACCUCUACGCUUCUAUGGUGUCCAGUUCAGCAACCUCUAUGCUUAGCAGCGGCGCUGCAGCUUCUUGAUCCCUACUGUGGAGGAAUAAGGAUCAUUUCAAGGGAGAGCUGGAACCAUCCCCCUCUACUUCGACUUCCCAGGUGUGCAGUGGUGGAGAAAGAUGAGCGGGUUCGAGAGCAGCCGCACCUGUGGGUCGCAGUGCACUUGAGGACUGUCGCCAAAGUUGAGUUUGUUGCCCUGGAUGUGUCUCAACCUGCAAAGAGGAGGGAAUCUUCUUGACUCGAGUAGAACUCGGACCGUAGCCAUCGCCCCAUUCCUGGCUGACAUCCACUCGAGUCAGAGCAGUGGCCGGAUCCUGUAUGGAGGACACCUCCUGGGCUGUGCUGUGUCUGGCUGCUUGCUACCUGUGCACAGGCUUCCUGCUGACCAGGUCCAGCUUCCCCCCUACCCACUUCUUCCUGGCCACCUGGGAACAAGUGGGCCCCUAGGAGGAGGACAGUCUUGGGGCUGCGUGGUCUAGAGAGAGAGAUGGGACCACAUCACCACUACUACAGAGAGAAGGCCAGGAACAACUAGAGCACCAUCAAAUCCUAUGGGUAAGACAAGCUCUCAGAGGAAAAAAGGAAGGAAGGAUUUUCCACAUCAGCUACCUGUUUCAAACUUCAUGGGUUUGACUUGGAAGACAACUUGGAUGACUGGAGUGAUCUAGAUGGCCCCAAAAAGCCAAGUACAGGAGAAGGAGGAG